rnacentral:rRNA from 1 species
CAGUCAUACCAACGGGAAAUCAACCUUUUGAGCUCGGUCUCGUGGGUUUUGAAGAGUUUCAAAGCCUUCGGAUUCGCGGGAUUGGGAUCUCUUGGUGUACUUUUUCGUACGGUUAGUCAACAUCGGUUUUGAAUGUCAUAAAAUGACUGGAGGAAUGUAGCUUCGAUCUCGUAUUGAAGUGUUAUAGCCUUUGGUAGAUGUGAUGUUUGAGACCGAGGAUUGCAACGGAUACCCCUUCAGGGGCUAUUCGUCUGAUCUCUGAUACGUUGCCUUGAUGUUGAAAGCUUGCUUAUGAUGUUAGGGUAUUACGGUCAAAAGGUUAGAACGAAUUACAUUCGUUAAGGAUGUUGACGUAAUG